rnacentral:rRNA from 1 species
UGGGGAAUUUUGGACAAUGGGCGAAAGCCUGAUCCAGCAAUGCCGCGUGUGAUGAAGCAGCUUCGGGUUGUAAAGCACUUUUGUCCGGAAAGAAAUCCUUGGCUCUAAUACAGUCGGGGGAUGACGGUACCGGAAGAAUAAGCACCGGCUAACUACGUGCCAGCAGCCGCGGUAAUACGUAGGGUGCAAGCGUUAAUCGGAAUUACUGGGCGUAAAGCGUGCGCAGGCGGUUUGCUAAGACCGAUGUGAAAUCCCCGGGCUCAACCUGGGAACUGCAUUGGUGACUGGCAGGCUAGAGUAUGGCAGAGGGGGGUAGAAUUCCACGUGUAGCAGUGAAAUGCGUAGAGAUGUGGAGGAAUACCGAUGGCGAGCGAGCCCGGCAAUACUGAGCUCAUGCACGAAAGCGUGGGGAGCAAACAGGAUUAGAUACCCUGGUAGUCCACGCCCUAAACGGUGUCAACUAGUUGUUGGGGAUUCAUUCCUUAGUAACGUAGCUAACGCGUGAAGUUGACCGCCUGGGGAGUACAGUCGCAAGAUUAAAACUCAAAGGAAUUGACGGGGUCAUAGCUGUUUCCU